ACUCCUACGGGAGGCAGCAGUGGGGUAUUUUGCGCAAUGGGGGAAAGCCUGACGGAGCAACGCCGCGUGAGUGAUGAAGGCCUUCGGGUCGUAAAGGUCUGUCAGGGGGGAAGAAAUGAGUGUGGGAUAAUA
rnacentral:rRNA from 1 species